rnacentral:rRNA from 1 species
GUGGAUUAGAUACCCUGGUAGUCCACGCCCUAAACGAUGUCGACUAGUUGUUCGGAGCAGCAAUGCACUGAGUAACGUAGCUAACGCGUGAAGUCGACCGCCUGGGGAGUACGGCCGCAAGGUUAAAACUCAAAGGAAUUGACGGGGACCCGCACAAGCGGUGGAUGAUGUGGAUUAAUUCGAUGCAACGCGAAAAACCUUACCUACCCUUGACAUGUCUGGAACCUUGCUGAGAGGCGAGGGUGCCUUCGGGAGCCAGAACACAGGUGCUGCAUGGUCGUCGCCAGCU